ACGGAAGCUUGGCGAAGCCAAGGUUAUAGCCGGAAGAGAAGGCUAGAUCUCCUGAACCAGGCUCCCUAGCACGGGUUCCAGCACCCACGCGGAGCACAUGCCGCGGAAUAGGCAAAAGUGUUGCGGGCCUGCGUGAUUGCGGGAAGGCGGACGGCCACGACGGCCCCUUGGGUGGGGUUGCAGCCGCAGCGCAUCGCAAGGACGCCGAGGCCACCCACGCAACCCACAAGGCACGCUUGGUAACUGGAGUCCGUGCUAGCGGGCGACGAGCCGAACACAGUUCGGAACGUCGCCCGCUUUUGCGU
rnacentral:ncRNA from 1 species